rnacentral:tRNA from 1 species
GCUUCCUUAGCUCAGUUGGAUCAGAGCGUCGCGCUACGAACGCGGAGGUCGCAGGUUCGAGUCCUGCAGGGAGUGCCA